rnacentral:rRNA from 1 species
ACGGGAGGCAGCAGUGGGGAAUAUUGCACAAUGGGGGAAACCCUGAUGCAGCGAUGCCGCGUGGAGGAAGAAGGUUUUCGGAUUGUAAACUCCUGUCUUAAAGGACGAUAAUGACGGUACUUUAGGAGGAAGCUCCGGCUAACUACGUGCCAGCAGCCGCGGUAGUACGUAGGGAGCGAGCGUUGUCCGGAAUUACUGGGUGUAAAGGGGGCGUAGGCGGGACGGCAAGUCAGAUGUGAAAUACAUGGGCUCAACCCAUGGGCUGCAUUUGAAACUGCUGUCCUUGAGUGAAGUAGAGGUAAGCGGAAUUCCUGGUGUAGCGGUGAAAUGCGUAGAUAUCAGGAGGAACACCGGUGGCGAAGGCGGCUUACUGGGCUUUUACUGACGCUGAGGCUCGAAAGCGUGGGGAGCAAACAGGAUUAGAUACCCUGGUA